UACGUAGGGGGCAAGCGUUGUCCGGAAUCAUUGGGCGUAAAGCGCGUGUAGGCGGCCUUGUAAGUCCGUUCUGAAAGCCCGGGGCUCAACCCCGGGAGGCGGAUGGAUACUGCAAGGCUCGAGUACGGAAGAGGCGAGUGGAAUUCCUGGUGUAGCGGUGAAAUGCGCAGAUAUCAGGAGGAACACCGAUGGCGAAGGCAGCUCGCUGGGACGGUACUGACGCUGAGACGCGAAAGCGUGGGGAGCGAACAGG
rnacentral:rRNA from 1 species